UGGCCAUCGGCGCACGAUGGUGAUUUUUCGUUUUUAUCGGCCGAUGGGUUUUUUUGUUUUUUGUUUUUUUUUUGUAACGGCAUAAACAAUGAAAGGUGGUGGAUUGGCCAGAUGCUGGCCGAUGUGUAAAAAUAACUCAGUUGUUUGGUGGUGGCGGUGGUGGAGCUUCCACAGAGGCCAGCAGGUGGAUGAGGGAAAGGGGAGGCAGGAGGAGGAGAGACCCGAGGCGGCCGCCGGUCCGAGCGUCAGGUGAACUGAACUUCAGAGUCAACUGAUUCUGCAGCAGAGCAUCCCCUGUUGCUUCUCCUGGCUCCCCAGUCCCUGGUCCCUCCGCUCCUGCUGCUGCACCCACAGGCCCACAGAAGAGGACAGCUCCGAGGCGGACGAGGGACGGGUCCCAGGACGGUCCAUCGGCGGUGGAGCUGGCCAUCCUGGAGUCCCUGAAGAGGCCACGCCAGUCUCCAACGGAGCAUUUCCUCCUCAGCCUUGUUCCUGCACUGGAGAGCAUGCCGCCUCAGACGAGAGUAUUAGUGAAAUUUCAAAUUUAUAAAUAAAUAAAUAAAGUUUUUGAAAACAGCACAGCUGUGUUAAAUUUGGAAACAUUGGACCCGAGCAAUCAGUAGUUUUCUGAUGAGGCAGCAGCUCUCCAGGGCAGAAACAAUGUUCUUAGUUUUCUCCUCCUUCUCCCUGAGGCUCUUCCACUUUAAGCUGGGUCCUUUUUAUUCCUGUCUCUCUGUAAACAGUUAUAUUUUAUAUAUUUAUGUUUAAUGUUUUUCUGUUUGAGAAUUUUAAUAUUAUUUGAAAUAAACUUUUGUAAUGACUAA